rnacentral:ncRNA from 2 species
UGAGGUCUGUACGACUGACGGAAGUGGAAUUGACCACAGGGAGUACAGAUAUGAAGAAGCCGACCGUCUGGGCACAUGAA